rnacentral:lncRNA from 10 species
ACUAGGAUUGCAAGCUCUGUUUUUUUCUGCUUUCUGUUUGCUUGGUAAAUUUUCCUCCAUCCCUUUAUUUUUAGCCUAUGUGUUUCUUUGUGUGUGAGAUGGGUCUCUUGAAUACAGCAUACUGAUGGGUCUUGGUUCUUUAUCUAGCUUGCCAUUCUGUGUCUUUCAUUGGAAAACACAUUGAGAUUUAAGAAAGAUCAUCUUCAAGCUCUGAGAUUCUUUUCUUGGCCUAUUCUGCUGUUAAUAAUUGUGAUUUCAUUGUGAAGUUCACUCAGCUCUAACAGGUGAACAAAUAGAAGCUGAGGGUGAAGGACCUACAGCUGUCACCUUCAUCUCUUCUCAACACUGCCAGCUGUCCCCUUGGAUCUCCCAGACAGACAACAGGGUUGUAGAUGAGCAUGAGAGUGUGGAGCAGAGUUGGCGAGUGCAAGUCGAGCCCAUCAACCUGGACAGCUGUCUCCGUGCUUUCACCAGUGAGGAAGAGCUAGGGGAAGAUGAGAUAUACUACUGUUCCAAGUGUAAGACCCACUGCUUUAGCAACAAAGAAGCUGGAUCUCUGGAGGCUUCCACCCUUCCUGAUUAUUCACCUUAAGCGAUUUCAAUUUGUAAAUGAUCAGUGGAUAAAAUCACAGAAAAUUGUCAAAUUUCCUCGGGAAAGUUUUGAUCCGAG